GUAGGAGCCGAGCUUCUCAAUGCUGCCUGUGAUGCUCACUGCAGCUCCCUUCACAUCCCAGGCUCUGGGGGAAGCUGCGGCAGCACGGCCACAAGGGCAGUGGUUAUCUCUGGGAGAGCUCCAGUUCCCAGCACACCAGCACUGACUGCAUUUAAAAGGGGCUGUUUAAAGCAGGUCGGUGGAGCUGCCCCAACCUGUUGGAGCCUGGGUGCCCUGACCCCGCUCCAGCUGUGCUGGGCUCAUGCUGCUCAGGUGCAAGCAGGGAAUAUUCCAGGUGUUGGCAGGAAAGGCACCGAAGAGCUCUGGCUUUUAAGGCAGCUGAAUGCAUCUGGCCUCUCCAAUCAAGCCACCCUAGGAAGCUGCUCGCAGCCCCAGGAGAACUCUGGAAUCUUUCUGUGCUCCCUCCGUUCGCAAGCAAACCGCCCGCAGCCGCAGGAAGAUCCGCUGGGAAGGCAGCCUGUCAGCGCUCCAGCUGCGAGAGGCUGGGGCUGAUAAUCUGCCAGCCUCCAAACAUGUUUACAGCCGUGAUUCCCAAGAGUGAAAUUGGAAGGGCUCAAAUUGUGGAAAUGGCUUGUUUGGUGAAGUUACAGCCCUAAAUUGAAGCCAUCUGUGAUGCCGUGCAGUUUCUGCCAUCCAGUACAUUCCCAAGCUGUCCGCUGUGCUAAAUCAUCUCCCCAUGCAGACGUGCUCGUAUCACUGCUCUCCCUGUCCAUAGCUGGUGUUAAACAGGGAAAGGGCAGUGCGGCAGCGGGGAUGAUCACUUUGGAGAUGGCUCAGUGGCGGCACCCAGAUGGUUCCUGAUGCUGCCCCAAAGCCAUCGUCUGAGUAGAGGAAUGCAAGGAGAAACCGAGACAGCUCUCAGCGUGCACAGCUCCCUAAAAAGGGUUGGAAAUGUUGAAAACCCACAGCCUGCCCUGUUUCCAUGGCAACAGGAGGAUGCAUCCAAAAGGACAAAGUUUGAAACACUCCCACAGAUGAGCUGGGAUUUUGUUUUUGUAACUCAAUUAUAUAUUAUUAUAUCUUGUGGCUAUAAUUUUAAUAGAUUUCUAAACUUCUUACAAACAUUUUGCAGGUUUAUUUUUACCUCUCUCUAGUGCAAAAAACAAAGUAGAGGAAGUCAAAAUUAAAAAAAAAAGGCAAAAAGUUGGGAGUCAAAUGUCAGUACAACUUCGAUCUCCUCCUCACGCAGCUCCGGUUGUAUCUGUUUAGAAGCACCAGAUUUGCAUAUUCAUGUCCCUUAAUUUGCUCUUUGGAUGCGGAAAUCUAAUAAUUAGUGAAGAAAAUGUUCCUGUGUGGAGGGAAACCCUGGUUAUGCAACAGAUGCAUUAAGAAAAACAAUCAGACAUAAGUGUCCAUCCCUGAGAAAAGGCUGUCUGUAAUUAAAAGCUUAUCAAAGACAAAAAACUCCUGUGCAUAUCUGGGGUCCUCACGGAGGGGGUGGCAGGGUCGGUGCCCCCGGUGUCUGCCCCCUUCCCAGGGCCGGGAGCGGCCGUGGGGCAGGUGAUGGACGGCUGGAUGUGCAGCCGCUGUGAACAGCUAAGCUGUCAAGUGAUAAAUCCCUUAUGUUCACCCUUAAUUAAAUUUCUUUUAGAAGCACAAUAGCUCGCUUUUAUGUCUGCCAUUUAUCAACAAUUAAAGUCAUCGGCAUUGCUGUUGGCAGCACGAUCGAUGGCGAGGCAGCAGUGAGGCUCACGGUGCAGCCGUGGUGGGGGUGAGCGGCCGGCACCCCCAUCCCCCUGUCCCUCACCCCCAGGGACCUGUGUGUGUGCCAGCACCCUGUGCUCAGCCACCGCCAGAAAUGGUGGAGCUGCAGCGGGGGAUCCCGAGCGGCAGUGUGAUGGCCCAGGAUUGCUGCCUGACCCCUUGCCGUAGCCCGGGGGAGCGCUCUGCUUGGGGAG